rnacentral:rRNA from 1 species
CCUACGGGUGGCAGCAGUGAGGAAUAUUGGUCAAUGGGCGCGAGCCUGAACCAGCCAAGUAGCGUGAAGGAUGACUGCCCUACGGGUUGUAAACUCCUUCUAUAAAGGAAUAAAGUGAGGCACGUGUGCCUUUUUGCAUGUACUUUAUGAAUAAGGAACGGCUAACUCCGUGCCAGCAGCCGCGGUAAUACGGAGGAUCCGAGUGUUAUCCGGAUUUAUUGGGUUUAAAGGGAGCGUAGAUGGGUUGUUAAGUCAGUUGUGAAAGUUUGCGGCUCAACCGUAAAAUUGCAUUUGAUACUGGCAAUCUUGAGUACAGUAGGGGUAGGCGGAAUUCGUGGUGUAGCGGUGAAAUGCGUAGAUAUCACGAAGAACACCGAUUGCGAAGGCAGCUUGCUAGACUGCCACUGACGUUGAGGCUCGAAAGUGUGGGUAGCAAACAGGAUUAGAUACCCGAGUAGUC